CCCUUAGAUGUUCUGGGCAGCACGCGCGCUACACUGAUGCAUUCAACGAGUCUAAAACCUGGUCUGAUAGGGCUGGGUAAUCUUUUGAAAGUGCAUCGUGAUUGGGAUAGAUGAUUGCAAUUCUUCAUCUUCAACGAGGAAUGCCUAGUAAACGCAAGUCAUCAGCUUGCAUUGAUUACGUCCCUGCCCUUUGUACACACCGCCCGUCGCUCCUACCGAUUGAAUGAUCCGAUGAAUACCAUGGAUUGAGAGUACGAAUAGGUUCGCUUAUUUCUGCUGCUCGAGAAGUGGAGUAAAUCUUAUCAUUUAUAGGAAGGAGAAGUCGUAACA
rnacentral:rRNA from 1 species